CUUUCUUUGCUGACGACCGGCGCACGGGUGAGUAACACGUAUCCAACCUGCCCUUUACUCGGGGAUAGCCUUUCGAAAGAAAGAUUAAUACCCGAUAGCAUAAUGAUUCCGCAUGGUUUCAUUAUUAAAGGAUUCCGGUAAAGGAUGGGGAUGCGUUCCAUUAGGUUGUUGGUGAGGUAACGGCCCACCAAGCCUUCGAUGGAUAGGGGUUCUGAGAGGAAGGUCCCCCACAUUGGAACUGAGACACGGUCCAA
rnacentral:rRNA from 1 species